rnacentral:rRNA from 1 species
AGUGAACGCUGGCGGUAGGCCUAACACAUGCAAGUCGAACGGCAGCACAGUAAGAGCUUGCUCUUACGGGUGGCGAGUGGCGGACGGGUGAGGAAUACAUCGGAAUCUACUUUUUCGUGGGGGAUAACGUAGGGAAACUUACGCUAAUACCGCAUACGACCUACGGGUGAAAGCAGGGGAUCUUCGUACCUUGCGCGAUUGAAUGAGCCGAUGUCGGAUUAGCUAGUUGGCGGGGUAAAGGCCCACCAAGGCGACGAUCCGUAGCUGGUCUGAGAGGAUGAUCAGCCAAACUGGAAAUGAGACACGGUCCAGAAUCCUACGGGAGGCAGCAGUGGGGAAUAUUGGACAAUGGGCGCAAGCCUGAUCCAGCCAUACCGCGUGGGUGAAGAAGGCCUUCGGGUUGUAAAGCCCUUUUGUUGGGAAAGAAAAGCAGCAGGUUAAUACCCCGCUGUUCUGACGGUACCCAAAGAAUAAGCACCGGCUAACUUCGU